UGGGGGAUAUUGCACAAUGGGCGAAAGCCUGAUGCAGCGACGCCGCGUGGCGGAUGAAGGCUUUCGGGUUGUAAACCUCUUUCGCUAUCGAACAAGGCCCGCUUAGGGUGGGUUGAGGGUAGGUGGAGAAGAAGCGCCGGCUAACUACGUGCCAGCAGCCGCGGUAAUACGUAGGGCGCGAGCGUUGUCCGGAAUUAUUGGGCGUAAAGGGCUUGUAGGCGGCUUGUUGCGCCUGCUGUGAAAACGCGGGGCUUAACUUCGCGCGUGCAGUGGGUACGGGCAGGCUUGAGUGUGGUAGGGGUGACUGGAAUUCCAGGUGUAGCGGUGGAAUGCGCAGAUAUCUGGAGGAACACCGAUGGCGAAGGCAGGUCACUGGGCCAUUACUGACGCUGAGGAGCGAAAGCAUGGGUAGCGAACAGG
rnacentral:rRNA from 1 species